rnacentral:rRNA from 1 species
UACGGAGGGAGCUAGCGUUGUUCGGAAUUACUGGGCGUAAAGCGCGCGUAGGCGGCUCAUCAAGUCAGGGGUGAAAGCCCGGGGCUCAACCCUGGAACUGCCUUUGAAAUUAGUGAGCUAGAAUCUUGGAGAGGCGAGUGGAAUUCCGAGUGUAGAGGUGAAAUUCGUAGAUAUUCGGAAGAACACCAGUGGCGAAGGCGACUCGCUGGACAAGUAUUGACGCUGAGGUGCGAAAGCGUGGGGAGCAAACAGG